AAGGUGUUAUCUGUUCUUAAUUAUAAAGAAGUUCGAUGUGACGAAAAGCAGUAUCUUCUUCUUCCUGGAUGUGGCAUCUGCCAGCAAUUCCCUAAGUACUCUAUCCAUUCCAUGCAUUGGAAUGUUCAUUAAUUUGCCACCAAAAAAAAAAAAAAAAAGUUCAUGAAAGAAAAAUAUGGAUUUAACCUCCUAUCAAGGUGUAGUGUUUGCUGUGAUCGAGUCAUAAUAGUGACUUGUCAUUGAAACCGGCACUAAGUUUGUUUGACAUCAAUUUUGUGACAUUGGUCGUCAUUGGUUAUCUCGCCUUGAUUUCAUUAUUAGGAAAAUCUUGUUGUACGCGCGUCAUCCCGACUCCUUGUCCUUGUGUCUUGUGUAUCCAUAGUGUGUUUUUGGUUUAGGACGUACGUACCUAGUUAGGACGUACGUACGUCCAGUAGGUCAGCAAACUUUCAUCGUGUUGAACGUACGUACUGAGUUAGGGCGUACGUACGUCAGGUAUGCA
rnacentral:lncRNA from 1 species